rnacentral:lncRNA from 1 species
AAAAUACUUAUAGGCUUCGAAAUGAAAAUGAGAUUUAUUAGUCUAUAGUUGUUGUGAUUAUUUGAAUUAUGAAUACAUUUUUACUACAUAUACAUGAGGUUUCCUUUUCAUUGCAGAAAGACCAAAAAGCAGCAAAAGAAAUAGGUGCCUUUUCAAAAGAAAUCAACUCUUUAACAGUGAGUAUGAUAAUAAGUAGUUUGUACAUGUAGUAGUACUGAAGGGUAAUAGUCAUUUUGUAUCUACAGACUUAUGUUGCUUGGAGACCAUAAGCAUGAGGGUGGCAGCAGAUACCUUUUGAAUUUCAAAAAAAAAGCUUUUAUCUUUAUCAAAUUGCAUCUCAUGGAUACUUACUGGUAGAUUUCAAUGGUUGGUGACAAAACUGAUCUCAGUCAAGAGGAAAACAAUAUCCUUAAGUGAGAUUUAAGGGAACAGAAUGUUUAUACUGCAAAGAAUACAUGUGUCAAACAAAAAGAACAGAUCAUGUUAUCACAGUAAAUGCACAAGUUCUUUGUAACAUUGGUAAAAGUAAAACUGCAUCAUUUGUUUGCCCAAAACAAUUUCACCUUAAAGAAUAUAAAAUUUUAACAACUAAAUACCUGUCUUAUUAUUUCUUUGCAUUUGAACAGAAUAUUACCAGUAUGUCAAACUAAAAAUUGAUAAAGUUGAUCAGGGCUGUUUGAAUUCCAGAUUUCUUUUUUUUUUUUCAAUUUUGAUGGCAUAGAAACAUUAUUAAAGAAAUAAUUUGUGACUUGUCAUUCUUGAGUGUGAGCUUUGCUGUUUACUUUGAAAUUGUUGUCAACUGUUGAUUGAUUGAUUUAUUUACGGUUACUUUACCUUACAUGUGAGGAAACAGUCUUUGUUGUGGCAAACAAAAUUUGAUAAUAUUUAAAUGACUGCUUAAGUAUGGAGGAGAAUAGAUUCUAAGUAUAGUCCUAUUGUAACAUUCAAAUGGAGGAAAAUAAGGAGAUGUGGUUUGAUUGCCAAACAUAAACAUAUGUUUUACUGUUUAAAACAUGAAAUGCAGAUGUGUAUACUAAGUAUUUCCUUAAAAACACGUCUACACAUUUAAAACAUUUGAAAAUAUUUUUUUUAUAAUUUCAGAACAUGCUUUCAAGUUGACAAGUUCCUGGAAAAUGUUGCCCAUCAUCGAAUGUGUGAUUGUGAACUUUAUUGUUUUAUCCAAUCAAAAUGCUCCAAGCCAAACAGGAACUGUCUCAGGGGAGCGAACUAACUGUGGUUGUUUUUACAAAUGGUUGUUGAUUGUUAUUAAUUUGUACAGUUAAUAUGUACAGAUAAUCUGUGAAUAGAUUAUUAAACUUUGUAUAUAUGUAUAAAAAAAAAUCAGCAUUUUCUCAAUUUUUGCUUGUUCUUUUUAUCAGCUUAGUGCUAAAAAUGCUAAGUUUUAUUAUUGAUAACUUUUAAAUGUAUGUAAAUCUAUGAUUUACUUUUUAAUGCUUUGGUGACUGAAGCAUUUACUUUAUUAAUCUGAGAUUUAUAUUUUAAAUGAUUAAGGCUGUUAUAUUUUGAUCAAUUCUGACUUUUUUUAGGAUUGAUUUUAAAUGGAUAUGAUUUUUGUAAAAGGGUUGUCAUUUUUAUCAGAUCUGUUAGUUUCAUCAAAUAACAAAAUAAUCCAUCUGUUACCCCUCGCAUCCCUCAUAAUCCUUUGUCAUGUGAUAAAAAUGUAAAUAGGUUUGUCCAAUACCAAGCCUGCUUUUCACAAAAAAAUCUAACAUAUGAAAAUUGGAUCCUAUCUGUGAACAAUCAAUGAUUUAGUUUUAGUUUUAAAUUUUAUUUUUUCUACACAUGGGCCAGGUCUUAAAUUUUUAGAAAGAUAUCUUUGAGGUGAUGACUGUGUUGGCUAUUUGCAGUUCAAUUUUAAUUGGUCUAAAAUUAAAUAAUUUAUUGUUUUGUAACACUGGUAUACACCUUUUCUAAAGAGUAACUUUCAGUUGUAAAUUUUAAUCUUUUUAUCAUCAUGUUUAAUUUGUCAUGAAAUGACUUUUUUAUCAUGUUUGUCAGUUAUUAUAUUUUUGUAAAUUAAUAAAUCAUGCCCAAACUAGAAUUCAGACAUUUUACUUCAUUUCAUCAGCAUGUGGACAAAAGUUACUAUUUUUAUAUGUCAAACUCCGUCCCAUACAUGUACUGUAAUUCGACACAUUUUGAAGUUUUCUACUUAAAACUUAGAUGAUUAGUUUAAUCAGAGAGGACGACAAGAUAACUAGAGAAUAAACUUUUAAAAAAAUUGAUAUAUUUCUGAGUAUAUUAACAAAUUAAAAAAGUUUGUAUAACUUUUUGUAGGAAAAAUGAAAGAUAUGUAUGGGAGUGCAGUUAAUGGUUAAUAUAUUAUUCAACUACAUGAUAAUAUUUUGACUGUGACUUGAUUGUAUAAAGGGAUUGCAUUGUGGGAUGUUUGCUUCUCUGUUCUAAAAUUACCAGCUUUUUAAAAGACUUAAAAUCUUAAAGUUUAGAUAUGAUGAAACCAAAAAAUGCAAGGUCUGUGUCUUUGAUGUUGAGAUGAAACCAAACAAAAGUUUGACAGGAAAUUAUUCUUUCUGGAGUUUCAUACUUUUAACAUUCUCUUCCAAAAACUGGAAUAAAAAAAAUGACAAAAAUUACUUUAAAUUAUAAGAAAUGAAUUUUUUGAAAGAAAACCAGGGUAUAUAGGGGGAAAAAUUAUUGAUGGCACCACAAUUGUAUAACCAGACGAUUCUGAGAAAAAAAAGAUACAAAAGUCCACAACGAGAGAAGCAAACAUCAAAUGGUGACAGAAAUGUGUACAUUUAUAAGUAUUACGUAAGAUUUGCUUUAUGGCUGUGACUAUUAAAUGGUUGUAUAUGAGGGUUUGAAAGUGUUUUUUUUUUUCAUUUUGCAUGGUUAAAUGCAGCACUAACAUGUACAAAAAUAAUCCGCUAAAAAUAAUGAAAA